UAGAAAAUUUGCUACACUUGUAAUUUUGAGCAAGUUUAGGGGGAGAAAAAGUGUUUACAGAAUAAAAAAGAAAUAAACAUCAUUGUAAAACCAAUACAUUCCUCGCUACUCUCAGAAUCUAAAAUUCAAUUAAGUAUCUAUAAAUAUCAAAAACUGUCAAUAUUUUGAAAAUUUUACCGUGUAUCAAAAAUGAUAAUAAUGUAAAUACUUGGUGAAGUUGGUUUCAAGUCUCUACGGUUGUUAUAAAAAUUACGACAAUACAUUGAAAAAAAAAAUGUGUAACGUUAUUUAUAUUAUGUAUGUGAAUCCGAACACAGUUUCUUCGCAAAUUGCUUCUAUGGAAUUCUGUACAGUAUGUAUAUUGUGUACGAUAUGUAUAAUAUUAUAUACGGCCUAACUUAACUAACGAGAACUACUACAGCAUUAUUAUGUUAAACAAUGUCGCGUACUUUACGCAGACGAUAAAUCGACCGACAAAAGGCAAAACAUUAUUUAACUUACUUGUUCAACAAUAGCUAUAACAAAAGUUGCAAAUACGUGUACCAUACUGUAUUGAAAAAAAGAAAGUCAAAUCGAGUAAAUAUCAAGCGCUUCUUCUUUCUAGAAAUGUUUUCGUUACGCCCAUUGAUCACUAAUCAGGCAUUUAUACCCUCGGCCGUUUCGCCCGUUGUGAUUAUAUUAUGGUGUUUUGAUAUACAUAAGUUUAAUAUUGCAGAUAUUGUAUUGUUGAUAUAGUGGUUUAUUUAAUUACAAUAAUAUUAUUGUGUGUACAAAUGAAUUUUAAAUAUUAAAAUAUACAUUGAUUUAUUUUAAAUUGUUUUCCACAUUAAGUUUGAUAAAAUGUACGUACCUGUACGUUACUUCUAAGACAGAAGAAUGAUUAACGUUGAUGUUUUUGAAAUAUUUUGGAAACGUUUAAUUAUCACUGUCAUUAUAAUGUUUCUGGGUAUUUUGGGAACAUUGCCAUUUUCAAGUGGCGUUUGAGAUUAUAAGAUUAUAAAAUUCCUUAUACUAUGCAUGCUUACUAUCAAAGAUAUAUGUUUUAAAAACAAUUUCAUAUUACAAAUAAUUCGUCGAGAAAACUUAAGCAUCAUUUGAUUUUUGUUGCAUAAGUUAAAGAUGUAAUUUCACGAUCGAUAAUCGGAAAAACGGUCGGUCGUGCUUCGCCCAAUAUAGACAAUACGUAUCUAAUAUGGGUUGGUGCUUAUUACACAAAAAUAAUCUGAUUGUAAUACGUUAUGUACGAAUUAUUAAUUUAUUAAUUAUUAUAAUAUGAUUAUAAAAAUAAAAAUAAUUUUAGCCAUUUUUGUUGUAACUUUGGUAGUAAUUGCACGUGUUUAUUUUAUCAUCGUGUCUCAAAUAUUAUGUGAAAAUGGUCUUAGUUUAAAAGUUUAAGUGCUAAAAAUUGUAGAUAAGAAAAAAUAAAUUUCAUUUUUCUCGAUUAUUAUCCUGUAAUAUUGAACGUUAGCGUUGUAUUAUUAAUAGCUUUAGUAAUCAUUAAAAUGUUUUUUUUUAUUUGAAAUAAAUAAUCUAUAUCUUAGGAUAUAAUUAGUUUAUAUUAUUAGUGUAGAAUACAUGUAUGUUAAUUUUAUUUAUCACAUAUACGAAUGCAUGAUAAAAAUAAAAUAUUUACAGGCAAUAAAUAUGAUUACUUUGAUGUGAGCAAUCAUCCAUUAAUAACAUCUAUUAUUGGCUUUUAAAUUUUUCUUUUAGUUUUAGUAUAUAGGUACACUAUAGGUAGAGAACCUAUCCUCGUUUAGAUAGGGUACUGUCAAGGUCACAACAUAAUUUUAUUUUCCAACGUCUGGGCGGGUUACCAGGAAUAGAAAGGACUUAGAGAUUUUGUAUAGAUGGGUUUCUGUUGAAGGUAAGAAGUCUGUGUAAGCUUUAUUUAACAAUUGAAAAAAAUUAUAAAAAUACUUGACAAAUUAUAAUAAUUUCAUAAUGAUAUUACAAAUUUUAUAUUUAAAUAUCAAAUCGUAAUUAUAUUACGAGAUAUUUCAUUAUAAUUUCAUAUUUAAUAAAUACUUGUAAUAACGCAAAAAUAAAAUAAAAUGAAAAUAAAAAUAUUAAUAUUUUUAAAAAAUAUUAGAUAGAGAAUAUUUGGUUAUUAAUAUUGGUAGUUAUGUAUUGGUUUAAAUAAAUGCAAGGCGAAUACAAGGGACACAAGCCUUGAAUAAAUGCCGUAUUUAUUUAUUAUAAGUUAUUUUAAAUUUGCGCGAUUAUCUUCCUCCUGAUCGUCGGAGGGCUCUCGAAGUCAUAAUUCGAGAAUAACCUAGUACACAAAAAUAAAAUAAAUAAAAUAUGUGUUAAUAAUUGUAAUAAAUUUAAUAACUAAAUGUAAUACCUUUAUAAAAUUGUAUAAUAGUAUAUUGUAGAUGCACAUGCACCUUACCUUAUUCGCAGCUGUUUGUAUACACAAUGACGAAAUUAAAAGGAUACAGAUUAUUUUAAUCACUCAGAUUGAAAUAAAGUAACACUGAUUAAUUUCGAUUUAAGAAAAAAGUAAACGGCUCACUUGUCGCUCACAGGAUCUGGUGUGUGAGUCUUCUCUGGUGCUCAUGCACUUAUUGCUUUAAAGGGUGCUCGUGCACUGAUGAGAGGAGACGAUCUUGGUCAAGCCGGCCAGAGUCGCAGGUGGCCUCAUCAAUGGUCUCCAUGUUACCAAUAUAUUAUUGUCUUUAUCUCCGGUGACAGAGACCCUUACUGGACUAUUCAUUGUCUCCAGCGGCAUACGAAAUAGAUCACAUUUGUUGCGUUACACUGUCACAACUAUGUAUAAUAUCCUACAUGACCAAAUAAUAUAAAUCGUUCCUUUCAUCAGUUAUUUAAGAUGUUUAUUGGGGUUUAUUAUGUGCGUGCGACAACUCGACCGUUAUUUAUUUUAUUGAAUAAAAAUAAGAAAUUUACAAACAUGAUAUGUGAAAGUGAGUAGUAUGUCAAUAUUCAUUUUUAUUCCAAACCUGGACAAAGAUUGAUGGAAAAUAUUAGUUUCAAACGCAUUAAAAAGCGCUCAAGAACUUCAAAAAACUAGUCUACCAUGCUCGUACGUGUGAAGAACGGAUUAUUAUAUUUAUAAUU